AGGACCGCCCAGCUCCAGUGACAUCGCCAGGGCCUGGCAGGUGACAGCAGAAUAAGAGCCACAUCACUAGCGGGAAGGACCCCAAGGAUGCAGUCUGGACCACCUGCUCUCCUGUGCGCAGUCGUGGCCCUCAUCUGCCUUGGUUCCAACAAUGUUGAGAGCGCCAAUGUACCUACAGUGUAUAAAAAAGAGGGGGAAUCUGUGACCGUGGAAUGCAAGUUCUCAGUCAGCUAUACUUACUACAUGAUGUACUGGUAUCGACAGCCUUCCAGCGGAGAGAUGAUUUACAUGGUUAAUAUUUAUUCUCAAAGCAAGCACGCAAGGGAAGGACGAUAUUCUGUGGAAUUUUACAAACCCAGCCAAAUGCUGAAACUCACCAUCUCAGCCUUGACGCUGAGUGACUCGGCCAUCUAUUUCUGUGCUGUCAGAGAGCCCAAUACAGAGUCCAGAUUGAGUACUGACAAACUCUACUUUGGAAAAGGGACCCGCCUCAUCGUGGAACCAAAAAGUCAACCUGCUGCCAGCCCAUCUGUUUUUGUCAUGAAAAAUGGGACAAACGUCGCUUGUUUGGUGAAGGAGUUCUACCCCAAAGAUGUAACUAUAAGUCUGCAAUCAUCCAAGAAAAUAACAGAAUAUGACCCUGCUAUUGUCGUCUCACCUGGGGGGAGGUACAGUGCUGUCAAGCUUGGUCAGUAUGGAGAUCCCGAUUCAGUGACGUGUUCGGUUGAACACAACAAAAAAAACCAUAAACUCUACUGAAUUUGAACCAAAGAAAAUUAUUUCAGGAACUCCAAAACCGAUGGAACCUCGAAACAGCAAACAAACUUCAGUUUCAGAGACCUGCUAUGAGCCCCAAGUGCAACCCGGGAAGGUGAACAUGAUGUCCCUCUCGGUACUGGGGCUCCGAAUGCUGUUUGCCAAGAGUGUCGCCGUCAAUUUUCUCUUGACUGCCAAGUUAUUUUUCUUUUAAGGCUGACUGGCAAGAGAAGGCUGCAUUCCCUGAAAGAAACCAAAAGCCUGCAGAGGAACUAUCUCCUAGGCUUUCAACUUUUUGGUGAUUCAAGUUGACCCGUCCCAGCCUUGCUUAAAUGGCUGUUCCCCAAACUGGUUUUCCUUUAAAGGCAACAAACCCAGCUUAUCCUUCAGCCUGAUGAAAGAUAGAAGUCCUGUGGAGUGGGGGCUUAUGGCCCCAACUGUGUUAUAUGCUGCUUUAUAAAGGGAUAAGAGAUAUGAAGGUAUAUAGGGCUCAUUUUUUUUUCCUAUGACUGACAUACUUUGAAAGUGGUGUUUUGUUCCUUUGACUUUCUUUGCCUUCAGAACUAGAAAGUGGGACCCAUCCGGUUCCCAGCUCCAUCUUCCAAGAGGAAAAAUAGAUCCUGGGGAAAGGACAGUGGGUAUCCUUCUACCUAAAUGUAAAAGCCUCUGCUCAACCCAGCACUAGAUUUGCCCAAACUAGCGUUCUCGUCUACAAAGGCACUUUCUGCUUUCCCUAUUACUUGGCAAACAAAACUACACUUGACUCCCUAGUACUCUCUGUGUAAGCAAUGGGGUUUAAAGUCUCAUCUAGAUACUCUCAGAGCUAUUAGCAGAGAUCAGAGUAAAAUGCAGAGGAAAUGUGAUUUCUUCAACUUAACAAACAUGAAUUACUGCAAGUUCCAGGCACUGUGCUGAGAGUGCAAAAAUAAGACAUGAGUCUUGCUUUCAAGCAACUCACUGUGCAAGUAUUUUUGGAGGGAGGGAUAGGAAUGAGUCCCCAGUAUUUCCCUGUAAAACCAGAGUCUUCCUGACCCCUUGCCUGCCCAUCUGUGCAUGGGGAACUUGAGGGCAUUGGAUCUUUGGUGUUGAUGGUUUUCUGCCAUUCUUCUUUGUCUCUGUUGCAUUUAUUAAAGUGCAUUGUAUGUACCUUG